AUAGUAUUUCCUCCGUUCUAAAAUUCUUGUCUUAGAUUUGUCUAAAUACAGAUGUAUCAAGUCACGUUUUAGUAUUAGAUACAUCCGUAUCUAGACAAAUUUAAGACAAGAAUUUUGGGACGAAGAGAGUAUAUA
rfam:Triticum aestivum genome assembly, contig: Triticum_aestivum_CS42_TGACv1_scaffold_159779_2DL